rnacentral:rRNA from 1 species
AUUGAACGCUGGCGGCAGGCCUAACACAUGCAAGUCGGGCGCGCGGCGGACGGGUGAGUAAUGUAUGGGGAUCUGCCUGAUGGCGGGGGAUAACUACUGGAAACGGUAGCUAAUACCGCAUACCAUCAGAUGGACCCAUAUGGGAUUAGCUAGUAGGUGAGGUAACGGCUGACCUCGGCGACGAUCCCUAGCUGGUCUGAGAGGCUGAUCAGACACACUGUGACUGAGACACGGCCCAGACGCCUACGGGAGGCAGCAGUGGGGAAUAUUCCGCAAUGGGCGCAAGCCUGAUGCAGCCAUGCCGCGUGUAUGAAGAAGGUCUUCGGGUUGUAAAGUACUUUCAGUCGGGAGGCGUUAUCGACAGAAGAAGCACCGGCUAACUCCGUGCCAGCAGCCGCGGUAAUAC